rnacentral:rRNA from 1 species
GACGAACGCUGGCGGCGUGCUUAACACAUGCAAGUCGAACGGAAAGGCCCUGCUUUUGUGGGGUGCUCGAGUGGCGAACGGGUGAGUAACACGUGAGUAACCUGCCCUUGACUUUGGGAUAACUUCAGGAAACUGGGGCUAAUACCGGAUAGGAGCUCCUGCUGCACGGUGGGGGUUGGAAAGUUUCGGCGGUUGGGGAUGGACUCGCGGCUUAUCAGCUUGUUGGUGGGGUAGUGGCUUACCAAGGCUUUGACGGGUAGCCGGCCUGAGAGGGUGACCGGCCACAUUGGGACUGAGAUACGGCCCAGACUCCUACGGGAGGCAGCAGUGGGGAAUAUUGCACAAUGGGCGGAAGCCUGAUGGAGCAACGCCGGGUGCGGGAUGACGGCCUUCGGGUUGGAAACCGCUUUCGCCUGUGACGAAGCGUGAGUGACGGUAAUGGGUAAAGAAGCACCGGCUAACUACGUG